GACGAACGCUGGCGGCGUGCCUAAUACAUGCAAGUAGAACGCUGAAGGAGGAGCUUGCUUCUCUGGAUGAGUUGCGAACGGGUGAGUAACGCGUAGGUAACCUGCCUGGUAGCGGGGGAUAACUAUUGGAAACGAUAGCUAAUACCGCAUAAUAGUAGAUGUUGCAUGACAUUUGCCUAAAAGGUGCAAUUGCAUCACUACCUGAUGGACCUGCGUUGUAUUAGCUAGUUGGUGGGGUAACGGCUCACCAAGGCGACGAUACAUAGCCGACCUGAGAGGGGGGUCGGCCACCCUGGGACUGGGACACGGCCCAGACUCCUACGGGAGGCAGCAGUAGGGAAUCUUCGGCAAUAGACGGAAGUCUGACCGAGCAACGCCGCGUGAGUGAAGAAGGUUUUCGGAUCGUAAAGCUCUGUUGUAAGAGAAGAACGAGUGUGAGAGUGGAAAGUUCACACUGUGACGGUAUCUUACCAGAAAGGGACGGCUAACUACGUG
rnacentral:rRNA from 1 species